CAAUUGUAUUCCAUGGUCACAUAUUUAGCGCAGGUUGGUACAGAGCCUCUUUUAAGAAUCUGUCAGAGGGACCAUCAAGAGAAAGAGACCCAACUAGGAGGCAGUGAACGGGAAAAGUGGGAACUUGUCUGGCCCAGAAUAAUUUCCUAUUUUUAAGUGUCUGGAGCUUGAUUUUCGUCAUUUUUAGACACAUUUUUUAUUUAUAUAUUUCAUACGCUAGACAAAGAUUUGGUCAUGGAAAUACUAAAAUACUCUUCUUAAAGGUGAUCUACAGUCCGUAUGUAAACAAAGCCUUUGUUUACAUUUUUGUGUCCAAAAUAUUGAGCUUUAUUCGACAACUAUUUAUAUUUUCAAGCUUCUAGAGUAUAAUAAAUGAUCAAGAAACAACAAUCAGGCUUUUCAAGAACUCAAAACAUAGUUAAACUGUUUGUAUCAUAAAAAGUGGGCUCAUUUGUGCACAUGCGCAGAUCGGACUGUAGAUCACCUUUAACUAAGUUAUUCUUCCCUUUUUUACUUAAAUUUUAGAUAGAACGGACCUUCACUGGGGGGGGGGGGUACAACAUAGUUCACUGGAGGGGCGAAAACAGGGGCUAGGGAGGGAGGGAGGACAAGUCCCCCCAGUCUAUGGUAUUAAAAGGGGCCCUGGGUUGGUAUUGAGGGUACUGAACAUUUUGUCCCUUGCAGCUAAGCCGAUUUCAAAUAUUUCCCUCUCAACUUUAGGUAAGCCCUGGUGGUAGUUAUCCCACCGCGUUGAUCAAUAUAGCAGGACGAAAACAGCCGCUGUGCCUCGCGUAUCUAAGAAGAAUACUUGAAAAUCCAAAUCAAAGUCUCAACCGUAGCCUGAGUCAAUCCUUAGACGAAACAGAUCACUCGUAAAUCAAUAUAUACGAACUACGAAGCUGCUCACUCGUAAAUCUGUACUUUAACUUUGGUGGUGAUUUCGCACAGUUCAGAGAAUUGAUGUUUGUGCCAUGUGUUGGCGUCUAUGGUGUCCAGGGGGGGGGGGGGACAUGUGAUUAAUUCCAUACACUUUAAAUUCUGGAUUAAUUUACAUUCAUUAAUUUGCGUUCAAAUUUUUAUGGUGGAAUUGUGCAUGUAUACGAAUUGACAUAUAGCAGGUGAAAUGUUCCAUAAUUUUGCGAUGUUAUAGAUUGUAUAAUAUUAAUAUUAAGUUAAUUAAUUUAAUAAAAUCUUACUGCCUGUUAUGCAGGCUAAUUCUCCA
rnacentral:lncRNA from 1 species